rnacentral:lncRNA from 1 species
GGGAAAUCAUAUUAGACCAAAUCGGAACGGAUACCAUCCAUAAACAUCCAAACAGAACAGAAAAAGAUAAGCAUCCAAAACCAUGAUCCAGAUUAAUUAGAAACGCACAGAUAGAAAUCAUCCGCGAAAGCUACCGAAAAAGAAAAAUCGGAACAAACGAGGAUACACCAGAUCUGAGAAUGAACAAAUAGUAUUAUAUAAUAAAUACUCAUGCACCCAGAUUCGGACAAACACAAAAAGCCCCAUCCAACAGCCGACGCCAUAUCCAAGAACAGAUCUGAGAUCCAUCUUCCAAAAAUCAUCACCUGCAAAUUAAAAUCAACAAGAUUCAAAACCCUAACCCAUGAAACCCAAACAUAGCCAUCACCUCAGAUCAUAGCUUCCACUACUAGCAGAGAGGAAGAAUGGUGGGCCGAAGAUUAGUGGAGGAGGGAGGGAGGGAGGUGAACUUUGAUCGAAGGAUUUGAUUGUGAGAGAGGAGGGUAGUUCAGAGAAUGAUAGACCCCUCUAAGCCA